UUUGGAAAGGAAAAAGAAUAGCUGAACAAGAGUAAGAGUUUCUGCAAUAAAGCCUUAAAAGAGAAUAAAAAUGUGGAAAAGUGAAGGUAGACACUGGAGCUGCACUUGAAUAGUUCUUAGGAGCCCAAAGCAAGUGAUUUCAGAAAUCUAAACCCUGAGAAAACAUGGGUAACAGAGAAGAACUUUUGCUGAUAUCUACUUACACAGUGAGUAGAGAAACAGAAGUAGAAGAUAAAUCUGAGAUAUAGGGGACAGAAAUGCUCCAGAAAAGAACUAGACCAUAUUUGGAGGAGGAGAGAAGGAGCACACCCUUCAUCUGUGUUGUGAACUAUGUCGAGGAGAGCAGUAUGUUACAGUACAGUCUUGGGGAGGCCAUGUGCAUGUGUCUUCAGGCCUCCAUCUCCUUUCAACUUGAGGAGCUCUGCUUUUCCUACUAUUUUAGAGGGGUUACCCAAAAUCUCAUCUGAAAUCUGGGUUCUAUGGCUAAAGAAGUUUAAAAACUCAUAGUGCCAUGACAAAGCCCUGGAUCAGAAGUCAAGAAACCAGAAUCUCUCUCUCAAUUUGGCCACAAACAAGUCAUGAUUCAUCCUGGGCCAACUACUUCCUUGGGAAACACCACCAUCUCUCAGUCAGCAAAGACAGAACCAGAGAGAGAGACUCUGCAGGUUCAGGAAGAAAGGUUCCAACUACUUUUACUCUCUGUUGCAUCUCUUAAUGUCACCACUUUCUCAGAGCAGGGUUUAGUCACUACUACAAAACACUGCUCAGGAACUGCAGAGCCACCAGCCUGGCAUGUGGUGACACAUUCCCAACACAAUUCUCUAACAUUCUGAUUUCCCUUCCAAAAAUAAAUUCAAGAGAAAGUAGAACUCUUAAAGAUCAGAUUGAGAUUGAAUGCCAUUGGCUUUCUCCCCAUAGCUAUGCUCCUACACAUCUCUUCAGCCCAGCACAGGGUUUUAAAGCUCACUGCUUAACCCAGGGCCAUCUCCUCUGCUGGUUAUGAGCUGCAAGGACAGAGUCCAUGUCCUAUUUGUGUUGGUGUUCCUGGCCACUAGCCAAAAACCUGCAGCCCAGCCCUAGAAUAGCAGUUGAAUGAAUGUGGCAGCCCACACACUCAAAGACACCUGAAUUAUCUUACCCUUUCCCAGAGAGCUUCAGGUACCUUUCUUUUCCUAAAUGAGUCACUAACGUGUCUGUAUAAUUAUGGUUUCCAUAUGUGUCACAGAGCCCAAACAUUUCAUCCGACUUACUGUGGUUUACUUUUUGUGAUUGCAUUUUUAUUAUAUCUUAUAUAAAAAGGGGAUACAACAGAAGGAAAAAAACAGUAAAGCAAAAAGCCAUAUCUAGCUUCAGAGCAUUACAUAUCCACUGGAAGCCCUAAAGCAGUGCUCCACGAUCGCAUGGCCUUUCCGCUGCAUAACCCUAAAGUCAUUUUUUGAUACAUAAUUCUCGAAGUAUGUAGUGCUGAAAGACCUUGAAGAGCUUUCUUAAAUGAUUUUAUGGUCAAAAUUUCUAUGAUUGCAGUCCUCCAAAUCAUAAAAGAAUAAAUACAUCCUUGGAAAAGACCUCACUUCUCUUUUUCUUCAUUCCU